UUAAUAUUUGUGUGGAGCCUUGGGUGGAAAGAGGAGGUUCUGUCCGUUCGGCGUCUGUAGACGUACCCGAACCGAUCAAAUUGGCGGUCGCGGGGCGUGACAAUAUUUUCCCUCGUCGGCUUGCGGCGCGUGAUAUAGAAAGGUUUGUGUUGGUGAGGAUGGGUGUAGGAGCGGGAGGGGAGAGAAGGAGGUCAAGGGAAGAGGAAGACGAAGAAGAAGAUGAGGCGAGGAGGGUCAGAGAAUAGUGCAAUUUUCUCUAAAACAAUAUAAUUUUUUGUCGAAAGAGUGCAACUUUUGUUUCAAAUGGUAUAAUUUUCAUCUCAAAGAGUGCAACAUUCAUCUUAAACAGUGCAAUUUUCUUGUAAAACAGUACAAUUUUAUUUUAAUAGUGCAAUCUUCAUUUUCUUUUUCCUUUUUCUCUGAUUAUUAGAUUUUUUGAUAGCAGCAACGAUAUAUAAUGACCUUUCAAAGAGAAAAAAAUUUUGUUAUUUUUUUUUAAUUUUAUUGUUAUUAUUUUUUUCUUCUAUCCUUUGCAUUUUUGUUCGAUCUUUGGAGAUGGGCACGUCUU
rnacentral:lncRNA from 1 species